GAAGCUGAACCGCAGUCUCCCACUAGGCGGCGCUGCAGGCUGUCUUUUGAAGGUUACUUGUGGCCCACAGCGGCUUAACUCCACUGCGGUUCCCGUGUCACUCCCUAUUUAAUGGCUGUCAGUAAGAAGGAGACAGAACGCGGCGGGUAAUUAAAAACAAAUUGCAGAGCCUGCCUGUCUAAAGCCUGCAGGACUGAAAAGCUUCUAUUGUGAAGACAGAACCCUCGACCUGGGGCUGCCUAUCCCUGCCUGGCAAGGCUGGAGCAAGAGAUGCUGUUUGGAAACAGUGUGAUUCCACAAAUGUGUGCAGGGGAGAUAUUUCGAAACAACAUCUUGCCCUCCGCGUUGUUUUUCACAUGGCUUUGCAGUUAGAAGAUGCAGAUGCUGACAAUUUCAACCAUCGGCUUCUUUUAGGACCGUCAACUGUGACCUUUGGCCCUUUUGGGAAUGGAGUUUUUGACCCUAGCUGUCUUGAGACCAGAACUGGACCUCUUUUUAUUUUGGCUUUAGACUUUGAACCUUUGGACUUUUGGGAAUUGCCCCUGAGAAGGUUCCUCCAUGAAUUGCAUUGCGCAGGAGCCCCAAAGAAGGUUACCUUUUUGUUUUGUCACAUCUCCAGGAACAACAGGAAACUUUUCACAAGCUCUUGCUAAAUUAGCAGCUGGUACAUUUUUAAGAAAAGAUCAGAAGGUCAUUUUUGCUGGAACAAGGCGCUGAAGCAUUACAAGACCUUUAGACCUUUGUGACCAGUGGCCCUGCAAUCUUUCACUCUGUCAUGUUUAACUAAAACCAAUACCUAUUCAAUCCGGCAUCCAUCAGUGUUACUUUAGAACAUGCCAGACUGCUGUCCAUGCAUCUGGGUUCCUUUUCACCCUCGUAUUUAUGGUAAACAUUCCUAACAGCAGCUGGGUGAUGGGAAUUUACAGGUUAAUCAAUUGCUAGUUAAGAGCUGCAGUAAACAUUUACCAGCCUAAUACCCUGAGGCGGCAACAUUUCCAUUGACUGUUUUUUUCUUUUUCAUUGUUAAGCAACGGUUUGUUAUUUUUGUGUAAUGCUUGUUAAGCAUUACCGCUGUGAACAAACUGUUGCUUUCAAAUACAUUUGAACACCCAUACAAUGCAAAUGCGUACACUCCCAUUUUAUCUGUUCUUUUGCUCGACAAUAUAUUUGAACUCAGUACUGUAGAAACACUAUGGAGGUAUACUAAUAGCUGAAUACUCAGUACUGUACAAACACUAUGGAGGUAUACUAAUGGCUGAAUACUCAGUACUGUACAAACACUAUGGAGGUAUACUAAUAGCUGAAUACAUUAUCUAACGUUCUUUAUAUCUACCUGUGAAACUGAAAACAUUAUACCUUAAAUGCACCGAGGCAAGAAGAAUUUGCUUUAGCUUUGAAAAAUGUCUAGAAUGCCAUUUAAUGGUUUAAUGGCUCUGUUGUUCCUCAGUGCUAACAGGGAUCUUUACUGAUGCCAAAGCAGACUGGAUCUUUAUCUUUAAGAUCAUAGUAAACAGCACAGUGACACCCAACACCUGGGAAGCAUUAGUUGACAGUAUUCCCUGACUUAGCCAUCAACAUGACUUCAUGCACCCCAGCUGCUGCUUUGUGGCAGUACUGGACAGGACUAAAUAAGUUAUGAGAUGUGAAAAUAGACAGUGAACUAAAGCUUUAUGGUGUUUCCGUCUUCUUCUGUGAAACUGUGGUAUGGAGAUUAAAUAUUGUACUGUAUUGUACUGUAUGCUGAACAGGAAUUAAGGGACUGUAAGCCACAUUGCAGCCCCUAACCUCUAAACUACAUUGUCUCAUUGAAAAGCUCCCGAAUACAGCAGUUCAUCCCAAAUGGCAAUUACCAGGACAAAAAAGCUGGACAUCUCUCUGACUCAUUCCUGCUUUCUUACUACCUAUUGGAACGGUCCAAACAGUGGCGGCCGAUCUCAAUGUGGCUCAGACAACCUAUAAAACCAGCGCUUUCGCUGAGCUUUUUCUAUUGACUGACUGUGCUAGUCUGGUCUUGUGUCACUAUUACAGCAAUUUAAGGUAUUGCAUCCUUCUGGUCAGUACCAGAGUACUGAUGCUGUUUCUGUUCCUAUUCACGUCAGA